GGCAGCAGUCGAGAAUCAUUCGCAAUGGGCGAAAGCCUGACGGUUCGACGCCGCGUGGAGGAUGAAGGCCCUAGGGUCGUAAACUCCUGUCAUCAGGGAGUAAUGGCUCACGUAGUAACUGACGUGAGCAGUGAUAGU
rnacentral:rRNA from 1 species